AUACACUUAGCAAAGAAAAAGAGGGAAAUGGCUAUUGGGUAGAUAGUCUGUACAUCUGCAAUACUAUAUGUACAGUUGAGAUGGAAGAUUUUGUUCAACCCUCAGUGUAAUCGAAAAGCAAUAGCUCUCUUGAAGUUCCCGUUGUGGCUCAGUAAAGAACCGGACAUAAUGUCCAUGAAGAGGCAGGUUUGAUCCCUGGCCUCACUCAGUGUAUUGAGGAUCUGGUGUUGCCGUGACUGUGGCAUAGACCAGCAGCUGUAGGUCCAAUUUGACCCCUAGACCAGGAACUUCCAUAUGCCACAGGUGUGGCCGUAAAAAUAAAGAAAAGUAAUAGCUCUCUGGUUGCCUGUUAUAUGGAAGGUCACUGUCAUCUCCCUCAUGAAUGAUUGCAGCAACUUCCUUGUACUCUCUGCCUAAAAUAUUCCCUGCUACUCUUUCUCCCACAAUGAAGCACAGUGACCUUCUUAAUCUUUCCUUUUUCUUUUCUAAACCACAGUGUCAUUAACCCCAUAAACCGUCUGCUAAUUUUUCAUCAACAUUGAGGGGAUGAAAUCCAGAAUCCUUCCUUAAGUUCACCAUUCUCUGCAGAACUUUAUACUCUAAUGACCCCAAACUGCUUGUGGUUCUCCAAACACUAUGCUAUUUCUUCCUUUGCUGAUGAGGUCCCUUCAGCCUGGCAUGCCCUUGCUUUCCAUUCGCAAACAUACCCAUUUCAACUAGGAAAUGGCUUCUCAUCCUUUAAGCAUCAACUAGGAUAUCAAUCUCUCCUGGAAGGCUUCUCCACAAUUCUUCAUCAUAGUGGUGAUAGGCAAAAGAGUCUCUACUAAUAGAAUUGUAAAAUUGAGCUACAAAAGCAAUAAAGAGCUAUUGAAAAACUAAUAAAAACUUCAAACCUGAGGCAUGUUUAUAUAUAGGGAGUUUUUGAGCGUCAGUUGUUUCUAUCUCAGUGACAGCCUGUACAUACCAUAUUUUUUUUCUCUGACGCUAUGAUGCUUUGGAAGUGAAAGACCUGUUAGGCAAAUAGUAAAAAAAUAGCUUCCCAAACAGCUGAUUAUUCAUAAAAUGUUUCCAUCUAUCUCAGAAUCAUAACAAAGCUAACCGUUGAGAAAUGGAAUUAUUGUUGAAGCCCGAGGAGGUAUUCUUAUUUUCUCCUAUCAAGGCACAUAUUACCCAGCAUCAAAUGUUUCCUUCUCAGCUUCAUUGCUUACCCACUCACGUUUUUCUCUCCAUUAAUGUGUUUUGAAGCUUUAUGUUGUUAAAUGCUUUUUAAAAACUAUUUAUAAAAUGAAGAACGAACACAGGAAAUUUAUAAGCUAUUGGGGGAGAAAAAAGGAGUAUCAGUGUAAUAAUCAUUUAAAUUAUAUUGGUGUGAAUCUACAGCAUUUCUCUUUUAUACUCUGAUGAAGCUAAUGGAAAACAAAACUAGCAAAUUCAAAUAUCUGCAUAAAUUGAACCCUUGAAAAUAACAGUUGUUGCAGUCUACCACUCCAUCCACAGUUUGAGGGGGUAUGUUUCUCUACAAAAGCGUCUGCUAAAGUAUUAUAUGCAAAUAUUCCCCUACAAACAGCAUAUACAUGCGUAAUUAGUAUACUCUCCCUGUUUCAUGGCCCCAACCUUGAGUCAAUAUUAAACGUUAAGAAGGACAUACAGUAUACAUGGAACUUGAUUUAAUUAAACUAAUAGAUUCAGGAAUCAUGCCUUCUAAUUCUGUUAUUGGGAUUUAAGAAUGCUUUGGAGCCAGCUACUUAACUGAACUUUUUGAUUUCCUUACCUGCUAAAGCAUAAAGGUAAGAGAGGAAAAACAAAAAGUCCUAAGAAUCUGCAGUGUAGAUUCAAACACCAAACUCCUACCAUUUUCUUUCUUUCUUUCUUUCUUUUUUUUUUUUUUUGCUUUUAAGGGAAAAACCUGCGGCAUAUGGAAGUUCCCAGGCUAGGGGUCAAAUCGGAGCUAAGGCUGCCCGUUUAUGCCAUGGCCACAGCAACUCAGGAUCCAAGCUUCAUCUGUGACCUACACCACAGCUCACAGCAAUGCUGGAUCCUUAACCCACUGAGCAAGGCCAGGGAUCAAUUGCACAUCCUCAUGGAUCCUAGUUGGGUUCGUUAACCACUGAACCAUGAAGGGAACUCCAGGAAGUUUUUAUAUUGAAAUUGGAUUCUCUGUUGGCAGUAGAGGGUGGUAAAGGUUGUGGUAUCUGGACAGUCUUGGAUAAAUCCUUACCAGCAUUAUAACUCUGGGCAAGUGAUUUAAUCUUCUGAAAUUUGUUCCCUCAGCCUGUCAGUACCUUAAUCUUACAAUGUAGUGGUAUAUAAACUCCUGAAUUUGUGUUCCUGAGUCAGAAACCUUACAGCUUAACUGGGACAGAGCCACCAGAUUCCAUAGAAACCAGUAGGAAAUCCAAACUAGAAAUUUAGAUGAAUUGCUCAAGGCCAAGCAUGGACCAACUCCAGAGUGUGAAGCUUCUGAAGGCUGUAGCCAUAGAGUGGAGGUUCCCAUCUUCCUGCUGAUUUCCUCUAAGAACCCCACCAGGCUCACAUAGAGUUGGAACAUGGGGAAAACCCAGAGUGAGCCCCCCCCUCCACCCCUGUCUCCAUGACCAUAUGGAGGUUCUCAGGCUAGGGGUUGAAUCGGAGCUACGGCUGCUGGCCUACACCACAGCCACAGCAACGCUAGAUCCAAGCUACAUCUACAACCUAUACUGCAGCUCAUGGCAAUGCCAGAUCCUUAACCCACUGAGCAAGGCCAGGGAUCAAACCUGCAACCUCAUGGUUCCUAGUCGGAUUCGUUUCCACGGCGCCACGACAGGAACUCCUGU
rnacentral:lncRNA from 1 species